GCAGUGAUGGUUCAGUGGUAGAAUUCUCGUCUUCCAUGCUGAGACCCAGGUUCGACUCCUGGCCAAGGCA
rnacentral:tRNA from 1 species